rnacentral:lncRNA from 1 species
UUUUACAAAGAUCGCACAGGGGGAGAGAGUGAGGGUAGCACCAGCGGCGCGCAAAGAUGGUGCACGUUUCAUUCUACCGCAACUGUAUGUGCUUCUGUUUCUACAAAUGCUUCAUCUUUGUUUGAUCAUUAUUGUUCUCUUUUUUAAAUAAUAAUGAAAUACUUUGUAUAUGAUACUUUUUUCACUUUGAUGCCGUCUCGAUCUCGUUUGUUGGUGUUGUAUAAUAUUAUUGUUUGAAUCCAAAGAAAGUGUAGGAAACUUGCGACCUUUUUAUAUGUGUUAUCUGAUCCAAAUAUCGGUAACUGAGCAUCUGUUUUUUUUAGGUUUAGCCAGUAGAAUGUUUGGUAGCCGGUAUUAUAUUUGUGUGCAGAUGGAGUCGGGAAUUGUUUAAAGCUCAUUAUAGUACUCUUUUAUGACGUAUUAAUUGUUGAUGGUUACCGGUUCUUGUGAUAUUUGAGCUUAUGAUUGAGUAUGAAUCGAUGUGUGAACAGAUGGGAAAACCUUCAAGAAGCCAAGACGUCCCUAUGAGAAGGAGCGAUUGGAUGCUGAGUUGAGACUUGUGGGAGAGUAUGGGCUUCGCUGCAAGAGGGAACUCUGGAGGGUUCAAUACGCACUGAGCCGCAUCCGAAAUGCUGCGAGGGAUCUUCUCACUCUCGAUGAGAAGAACCCACGACGUAUUUUUGAGGGUGAGGCCCUUCUCAGGAGGAUGCACAGGUAUGGCUUCUUGGAAGAGAGCCAGAACAAGCUUGAUUAUGUGUUGGCCCUCACUGUGGAGAACUUUCUUGAGCGUCGUCUUCAGACCCUUGUGUUCAAGAGUGGCAUGGCUAAGUCAAUUCACCAUGCUCGAGUGCUCAUCAGGCAGAGGCACAUUAGGUAUAAUUUAUGCACUGUGUUUCCUUUUAGUUCAUAUCUGCUUUUUUCAGUGUCUGUAAAAUCUUCAAAUGCUUUUUCACAUUUGUUUCUUUUCUAUUAUUCUAACAUUUGACCAACAUGAAUUUAAAUUGCUUGUUCCAUCUCGAUGUCUAUUACUGAGUUUGUUGGUUUUAACCAUUACUUACUGAUCUUUAAUUAUUUGAUUAUUUUCUAGUUGCCUUUGGGUUGUUUAGCUGACAUUUGCUUUUGGCUUUAAAUUUUGUAAAAUUAUCUUGAGUUUGUGAAUUGUGUUUUUAUACACGUUCAGGUUAUAAUUAUAAUAUUUGAAACUUGCCCACUAAUUGAUAAUUGUAGUGUCAUAAUAUAUGUAAUGAUUCUAGCAUGUAUGGUUUACCAGUAUUGUGGACGAUCUUUUGGAUAUUAUAAUGUUUAGCAAGUUUGAUUGUACUUGAGUUUACCUUUGUAUUCUUGGGGCAUUAAUAUGCCCUGCAUGCACUACCCAGCAAAUGCUUUUGGCUCUGUUAAUCGGUGUAUUCAAAUUCUGUCACAGCUAACAUCAGGACUGCUUUUGGUUUUUUUUCAUAAAAUGUGUUGUGCUUUUUUAUCUAUUUGAUUACUUUUAACGUUGCUAUGCCCUGUCCCUUUGAGUCGACUGUUUCUCUUUGAAUGUAUGAAGUAAUGAUACGUUGUUCUUGUUUUACAAGGUUUAUUCGAGCUGGGUUGCUUUGAUGUUCUAACCUUAAUGUUUUAGUAAGAUUGUUUUGAGGUCUUUAAGCGUGGUUAUUUUGUAUAUUAAGGAAUAUCUAUAUUUCUGAUUAUCAGGGUUGGAAGGCAGCUUGUCAACAUUCCCUCAUUUGUAGUGAGGGUUGAUUCCCAGAAGCACAUUGAAUUCUCACUCACAAGUCCAUUUGGAGGCGGGCGCCCCGGAAGAGUGAAGAGAAGGAACAUUAAGGCUGCUGCCAAGAAGGCCGCAGGUGGAGAUGGAGAUGAAGAGGAUGAAGAAUAAAUUACCUUGUGUGAGCAGAUAGUUUUUUUAUGGUUACAGUAGGAACUCUGGCUGAACUUUGCAAAUCGACUUAUCUUCUCUUAAGUUUUAUGUUUUUGCUAAUUUUCUUCCUAUAAUAGGAGGUUUUGCUUGCUUUGUGCUUUACAGACUACUCAUUGAGAGAAUUGUUUUUGUUUUUUGGGAUGUACUCUUUGAUCCUUAAGCUUUUUUAUGCCUAAAUUAAAUCUCCGUGUAGUUAGCUUUUUUGUGCGCAUAUAUAUAUAUUAGAUUUAAUGGAAAAUUGUCGCUACUGCAAUGGCAUACCGAUGCGAUUGAAGCGUGCUUUUGUUAUAGAUGUGAUGUGUGUCAAAAAAUUUGUGCUCCUGGAGAGUUUCAUCUAUCAAGAAUAAGCUUGGGCUUGGGCUUUAGAUGGGUUUGUCAUUAGCUCUCUCAUUGGGCUUGUGCUUGGGCUUUUUCACACAAGAUUAGAAUCGUUGACGGUCCUCGCGCACACGUGUGAAAAGCGUAGCAUAAUCAAUGGAAAUUAGUAGCAUAAUCAAUGGAAAUUAGAAUGAGGAUAGGUUGGAAUGAGAAAGAAAUUUUAAUGUUUAUUUGAUAAAAAUAAAUGAGAAUGAAAAUUAGAAUGAGAAUGAGCUGGAUUAGAGAUGAAAUUUUAAUGUUUAUUUGACAAAAAUAAAUGAGAAUGAGAAUGUGUUGGAAUGAUGUGUUUAUUUAGUAAAAUAAAUAGGAACGAGGUGAUAAUGAAAAUUAAUUUAUUAAAAUAUUUAUAGUAUUAAUAAUUAAUUUAUCAUUAUUAAUAAUAUUAUCAUUGUUAUUAUUAUUAUUAUUAACAAUAAUUAAUAAUAACUAAAAUAAUAAAGUUAAUAAAAUUUAAUUUUAAUAUUAUCAUUAUUAUUUUUAUUUUUAUUAUUUUUAUUAUUUUUAUUUUUAUUAUUGUUAUUAAAUUUUAUUAACUUUAUUAUUUUAGUUAUUAUUAAUUAUUGUUAAUAUUAUUUUUAUUAAUAUUAUCAUUAUUAACAAUAAAAAUAAUGAUAANNNNNNNNNNNNNNNNNNNNNNNNNNNNNNNNNNNNNNNNNNNNNNNNNNNNNNNNNNNNNNNNNNNNNNNNNNNNNNNNNNNNNNNNNNNNNNNNNNNNNNNNNNNNNNNNNNNNNNNNNNNNNNNNNNNNNNNNNNNNNNNNNNNNNNNNNNNNNNNNNNNNNNNNNNNNNNNNNNNNNNNNNNNNNNNNNNNNNNNNNNNNNNNNNNNNNNNNNNNNNNNNNNNGUACGGUACAGCAGCAAUAAUUAAUAAUAACUAAAAAAUAAAAAAUAAUAAUAAUAAAUGUUAAUAAUGAUAAUAUUAAAAAUAAUAAUAAUAAUAAUAAUAAUAAUAAUAAUAACAACAACAAUAAUAAUUAAAAUAAUAAUAAUAUUGUUAAUAAUGAUAAAUUAAUUAUUUUUUAGUCUCAAAUUAUAUGGGACCCAUAUAUUUUAUUCACAUUCACAAAUUACAUUUUAUCAAGUAAACAUGAGUUAUAUUCUCAUUCCCUAAACCCUCAAAUAAACACAUUAUUAAUAUUCUUUUAAAAUCUCAGUUUGUAAAAUUAUGUCAAAGCAUAAAUAUAAAUUUAAUUGAACUAGAACUUAAUAUAACUUAAUAUAUGAUAUAGUUACUUUAUAUAAAAAUUUUGAAUAAUUAAGAAAUAAAUUACUUAAUAAUAAAAUUUUUUAUCAUGAAACAGUAUGUUUACUAUUGUUUAAUUUAUUCUAAAUGAUAGUAAGAUUAACUAAAUUUCUAUUGUAAUUUUUUGCUCUUUUUUGUAAUUUUACCUAAGAAAAUUUUUUGCUCUUUAUAAGAAUUUUAAAGGAGUGUUAGAAGCUCCCCGCUCAUUAUUUUAAAUUUUGUCAAAUAUUUGAUCCAACUUGUAGUCUGUUUUGGAGUGUGGUGAGGUAGAUAGACUUUAAAAGUGUUUGGUAAUACUUGUAGUUGGGCUUUAGCAGCUUAGCAAUUUUUUUUUCCCAACUUAUUCCACAGUUAUAAUUGUUACUCCACAUCAACUACAGGUUAAAAGUUACAGCAUCUUACUCCCAAACAUACCCUUGUUCUGUUAGAACUUGAGGUUGCUUCCGUAUUCAACAAAUGUGGGGGCGGCAGAAGACUCGCUUUUAUUAUAUUAGGGCUUGGUAAGAUGCACAAAACUUAAAGCCUAAAAGUUAUUUUUAUAACUUUAAAAAUAGUUUUAUUGAUUCAACUUUUUAAAUGCUACUCUUAGGAUAAUAUAUAAUACAUUAUAAAAUUAUAAUGUAGGAAAAAGUCUGUUUUACCCUCGGGUAUGAUAAAAUAGUUCAUUUCUUUUCUAUUAUUCAAACAAUAAUUCAACAUAUCCUUUUGUGAAUUUAUAGUUAAUUUAAUUUAUAAUUCAUUAAACGCAAAAUAAGAUUGAAUAAAUUCAAAUUAUUUUAAAAUAAAAAUAUAAAAGGUAAUUAAAUAAAAUCUAACUUUAUACAUAGAUCUAAAAUUAGUUUAAGAAUAAUUUAAUGAAACAAAAAUAACACUAAAGAAUAUGCAACAUUUGUGUGUGAGUGUGUGCAAUAUAUAUGGGUAUGUGUGUUUUUUCAAUGAAGUCAAAUAAAUUUUUGAACAAAUAAUAACAAUAAUAUUUCAAUCAAGUAUUACUAUUCACAUUAAGGUUAGAAAUAAACUAAAAAUUUUUUUUAAAAAGUAUCCAUACUAACAGUUAAUUAACGAAAGGCAUUUUUAAAAUAUUAUUUAAAAAAUAAAAAUCAGAUAAAUUAUUACAUCAAACCUUAAUGGUGAAAAAGGCAUUCUUCCUUGCAAUGCACCAUAGCAGCCCCCAGUCGGCCAUUCAUUAUUUCCUUAAAGACCGUACCUAAAAAUUACAUUGAAAACACGGGGCUGCUUCUGAAUGUUGUAAGCUUAUCUCAACAUGUUCACUGCCUUUUAUCAAUCUGCCUAUAAAAAUACUGAUCUGAUCGAAUGUCCAAUCAAUUGAGAAAAUUAAGGCUUAAAGUCAGUCAUGAUCCUCUUGACAUCAGUAGUGUAAGAUGUCAUGGAAUGUCAGCUUCACAAUUACUGGCUUUGCCUAAUUAUUGUGGCGAAAAUGAUCUAUUUCUUCAUAAUCACACCGUGCAAUGCAUCCAUUUUUUGGGCUAAGUCAUAUGAAUUUUCCAAAGUCUUUAUGUAUGUUUGGCGGUAAGUAAACUUAGAUGGGUGGGGGAUUUCUUUUUAAUUAAGUUUUCUCUCCUUCAAUUUGGUGUGAAGGUAUCUUGUAGGCCUUAUGAGAUCUAUGGUGAGCUAAAGUUAGAUAUACAUACGGGCUUUAUAAUCGCCUUUGCUUGUUGGUUCCCUUUUUAUUGGCAUCUCAAUUUAAACACUACCAGAUUUGAUAUUUGGAAAAGUCCUAAUGUAUUACAUGAAUAAUGAAAUAGUGAAAUGUGAUACAACAUUUUUUUUUAACCUAAACAUAAGUCCCAUUGAAAAAACAUAACAUUACAAUGGUAUAUUGUCAUGAUACAUUCAACGUAGGAAAACAAACAUAAAUAUCUAUUAUCGUUAAACAUAUUGACAAUCAAGAAGAAAAAAAUACAUUUAAGAUAGUAAAGAAUACUUUCAUGUAUUAAAAAAAAAAUUAUGUGUUCACAUCUAUUGAACCUGUAUUAUUUGAGCUCUUUCAUAUAAUUCUUUUUGUACAUAUAUAGCUUGUUAUCCCCACUUAUUUGAUGCAUGAAACUUGUAGAUCUAUUCUCAUAAGCUGAUCAAAGGUACCCUUAGAAUGUAGCUAUAACUUUGAAGAAUGAAAGGGUAUUCCACUCAUUUCAUUAGGGAUAUAGACCUAUUUGAUAUAAAUGGACAAAUUGUGUCCUUUCUUGGAAAGUAUUAGCAAAUCAGAAACCCAGUUGUUAUUUUGAAAAAUAACAAUUAUUGAUCCUCAAAACACAUGAAUUGUUGAACCAAAAUCAAUUUAAGUGCGCUUAAUGCAACGACAACGACAAUAAUAUGAAUUGUUGGUUAUAUUCCAUUACAUGCUUAAUGUGUGAACUGUUGGUUGUUAUUUCUUGUGCAAGUCAUGUAACAUAUUAUAGUAAUGAAUCUCUAGCAUAUAAAAAUAAGAGUAAAAAGGAAAUGAAUAAAAGCCUAGCACAAAAAGUUAAAAGAAAAAAAGGAAAAGAAAAAAAAAAUCUUAUCUUAUUGAAUAUCACCUUCCAAACGCUAAAUUUAAUUUUGAGAUUAUGGAGGAAAUUAAACAUAUAUAACAUACAAGUAAUAGCCAUGCUCGUGAUGAUCUAUUAAUAAUAUCACUAAAAUAAAUAAAUAAAUAUUACAAACGGGCGCAUUAAAAUGUUAUGAAAUGGGCCAGCGAUUUUUCACGAAAGCCCAUUGACAUUAAUAGCUCAAGCAACUAGGGUUAGGGUUUUGCAAAAUCAUAUAUAUGUAUAUAAUAGCAGUCGUUAUAAGAAGACACGGCCUCUUUACGCCAUUUGCUUAGGCUUUUUCGAAGAUCGCAGAGAGAGAGUGAGGGUAGCACCAGCGGCGCGCAAAGAUGGUGCACGUUUCAUUCUACCGCAACUGUAUGUGCUUUUGUUCAUAAUUGUUCUCUUUGUUAAAUAAUAAUAAAAUACUUUGUAUAUGAUACUUGUUUCACUUUGAUACCGUCUCGAUCUCGUUUGUCAGUGUUGUGUAAUAUUAUUGUUUGGAUCCAAAGAACGUGAAGGAAACUUGAGACCUUUUUGUAUGUACUAUCUGAUCCAAAUAUCGGUAAUUGAGCAUCUGUUUUUUUAGGUUUAGCCAGUAGAAUGUUUGGUAGCCGGUAUUAUAUUUGUGUGCAGAUGAAGUCGGGAAUUGUUUAAAGCUCAUUAUAGUACUCUUCUAUGACGUAUUAAUUGUUGAUGGUUACCGGUUCUUGUGAUAUUUGAGCUUAUGAUUGAUUAUGAAUCGAUGUGUGAACAGAUGGGAAAACCUUCAAGAAGCCAAGACGUCCCUAUGAGAAGGAGCGAUUGGAUGCUGAGUUGAGACUUGUGGGAGAGUAUGGGCUUCGCUGCAAGAGGGAACUCUGGAGGGUUCAAUAUGCACUGAGCCGCAUCCGAAAUGCUGCGAGGGAUCUUCUCACUCUCGAUGAGAAGAACCCACGUCGUAUUUUCGAGGGUGAGGCUCUUCUCAGGAGGAUGCACAGGUACGGCUUCUUGGAAGAGAGCCAGAACAAGCUUGAUUAUGUGUUGGCCCUCACUGUGGAGAACUUUCUUGAGCGUCGUCUCCAGACCCUUGUGUUCAAGAGUGGCAUGGCUAAGUCAAUUCACCAUGCUCGAGUGCUCAUCAGGCAGAGGCACAUUAGGUAUAAUUUAUGCACUGUGUCUCCUUUUAGUCCGUAUCUGCUUUUUUCAGUGUCUGUAAAAUCUUCAAAUGCUUUUUCUCAUUUGUUUCUUUUCUAUUAUGCUAACAUUUGACCAACAUGAAUUUAAAUUGCUUGUUCCAUCUGGAUGCCUAUUACUGAGUUUGUUGGUUUUAACCAUUACUUACUGAUCUUUAAUUAUUUGAUUAUUUUCUAGUUGCCUUUGGGUUGUUAAGCUGACAUUUGGUUUUUGGCUUUAAAAUUUGUUAAAUUAUCUCGAGUUUGUGAAUUGUGUUUUUAUACACGUUCAGGUUAUAAUUAUAAUAUUUGAAACUUGCCCACUAAUUGAUAAUUGUAGUGUCAUAAUAUAUGUAAUGAUUCUAGCAUGUAUGGUUUACCAGUAUUGUGGAUGAUCUUUUGGAUAUUAUAAUGUUUAGCAAGUUUGAUUGUUUACCUUUUUAUUCUUGGGGCAUUAAUAUGCCGUGCAUGCACUACCCAAAAUGCUUUUGGCUUUGUUAAUUGGUGUAUUCAAAUUCUGUCACUGCUGACAUCAGGACUGCUUUUGGUUUUUUUCAUAAAAUUUGUUGCGUUUUUUUAUCUAUUUGAUUGCUUUAAUGUUGCUAGGCCCUGUCCCUUUGAGUCGUCUUAUUUGAUUUUGUCUUUGUCAAGAUCUUAUUUUUUCAAUUUGUGACAAGGAAGUUAAAACUUUUUUUUUUUUUCUGUUGGUCAAUUAGCCGACUGUUUCUCUGUGAAUGUAUACAGUAAUGAUAUGUUCUUUUUUCUCAAAGCUUAUUUGAGCUGGGUUGCUUUGAUGUUCUAACCUUAAUGUUUUAGUAAGAUUGUUUUGAGGUCUUUAAGCGUGGUUAUUUUGUAUAUUAAUGAAUAUCUAUAUUUCUGAUUAUCAGGGUUGGAAGGCAGCUUGUCAACAUUCCCUCAUUUGUAGUGAGGGUUGAUUCCCAGAAGCACAUUGAAUUCUCACUGACAAGUCCAUUCGGAGGUGGCCGCCCUGGAAGAGUGAAGAGAAGGAACAUCAAGGCUGCUGCCAAGAAGGCCGCAGGUGGAGAUGGAGAUGAAGAGGAUGAAGAAUAAAUUACCUGUGUGAACAGAUAGUUUUUUUAUGGUUACAGUAGGAAUUCUGGCUGAACUUUGCAAGUGGACUUAUCUUCUCUAAGUUUUAUGUUUUUGUUUGCGAAUUUUCUUGCUAUAAUAGGAGGUUUUGCUUGCUUUGUGUCGCAUAUCUAUAGAUAGAUAGAUAGAUAGGUAGUUUCUGCUCCUGGAGAGUUUCAUUUAUCGAGAAUAAGCUUGGGCUUUAGAUGGGUUUGUAAUCAGCUCUCUCAUUGGGUGCGACUCGUGCUUGGGCUUCACGUGGGCUGUUCACACGAGAUUAGAAUAUUUUGCGGUGCUCGCACACACGUGUGAAAAGCGUAGCAUAAACAUGUGUUCCUUUCACACCUCUUAAUAUUCUUUUAAAAUCUCAGUUUGUAAAAUUACGUCAAAGUACAAAUAUAAAUUUAAUUAAACUAAAACUUAAUGUAUGUAUAGUUAUUUUUUAUAAAAUUAAAAUUAAAAAAUUGAGUAAUUGAGAAAUAAAUUACUUAAUAAUAAAAAUUUUACAAUGAAACAGUAUGUUUACUAUUAUUUAAUUAUUCUAAAUGAUAGUAAGAUAUACUAAAUUUCUAUUGUAAUUUUUUGCUCUUUUUUGUAAUUUUGCCCAAGAAAUAAAAAAUAUAGAAAAAUGAGGUUGUAUAAGAAUUUUAAAGGAGUGUUAGAAGCUGUUAUUUUAAAUUUUGUCAAAUAUUUGAUCCAACUUGUAAUCUGUUUGAGAGUGUGGUGAGGUAGUUAAGCGUUGGAAGUGUUUGGUAAUAUUUGUAGUUGGGCUUUAGCAAUUUAGCAAAAAAAAAUUUCCAACUUCUACUCCACAGCUAUAAUUUUUACUCAACAUCAGCUGCAUGUUAAAAGUUACAGCAUUUUAUUCCCAAACAUACCCCGAUUCUGUUAGAGCUUGAGGUUGCUUCCGUAUUCAAUAAAUGUGGGGACAUCAGAAGACUCGCUUUUAUUAUAUUAGGGCUUGGUAUGAUGCACAAUACUUCAAGCCUAAAAGUUAUAUUUAUAAAUUUAAAAAUAGUCUUAUUGAUUCAACUUUUUAAAUGCUACUAUUAGGAUAAUAUAUAAUACAUUACAAUGUCGGAAAAAGUCCUUUUUACCCUCGGGUUUGAUAAAAUAGUUCAUUUCUUUUAUAUUAUUCAAACAAUAAUUCAACAUAUCCUUUUGUGAUUUUAUAGUUAAUUUAAUAUAUAAUUCAUUAAACGCAAAAUAAGAUUGAAUAAAUUCAAAUCAUUUUAAAGAAAAAAUCUAAAAGGCAAUUAAAUAAAAUCUAACUUUAUACACAAAUUUAAAAUUAGUUUAAGAAUAACUUAACGAAACAAAAAUAACACUAAAGAAUAUGUAACAUUUGUGCGUGAGUGUGUGCAAUAUAUAUGGGUAUGUGUGUUUUUUCAAUGAAGUCAAAAAAAAUUUUGAACAAAUAAUAAUAAUAAUAUUUCAAUCAAGUAUCACUAUUCACAUUAAGGUUAGAAACAAACUAAAAGAUUAAAAAAAAUACCCAUACUAACAGUUAAUUAACGAAAGGCUAUUUUAGAAUAUUAUUUAAAAAAUAAAAACUAAAUAAAUUAUUACAUCAAAUGAGAAAGGCAUUCUUCCCUGUAAUGCUACCAGUCAGCCAUUCAUUAUUUCCUUAAAGACCGUACCGUGCUACCAACUUGUCUCAUGGUUACUAAAAAUCACAUGGAAAACAUGGGCUGCUUCUGAAUGUUGUAAGCUUAUCUCAACAUGUUCACUGCCUUUUAUCAAUCUGCCUAUUAAAAUACUGAUUUGAUCGAAUGUCCAAUCAAUUGAGAAAAUUAAGGCUUAAAGUCAGUCAUGAUCCUCUUGACAUCAGCAGUGUAAGAUGUCAUGGAAUGUCAGCUUUUCACAAUUACUGGCUUUGCCUAAUUAUUGUGGAGAAAAUGGUCUAUUUCUUCAUAAUCACACCGUGCAAAUGCAUCCAUUUUUUGGGCCAAGUCAUGAAUUUUCCAAAGUCUUUAUGUAUGUUUGGCGGUAAGUAAACUUAGAUGGGUGGGGGAUUUCUUUUUAAUUAAGUUUUCUCUCCUUUUUAUUGGCAUCUCAAUUUAAACACUACCGGAUUUGAUAUUUGGAAAAACCCUAGUGUAUUACAUGAAUAAUGAAAUAGUGAAAUGUGAUACAGCAUUUUUUUUUUUAACCUAAACAUAAGUCCCAUUAAAAAAACAUAACAACAUUACAAUGGUAUACUUUCACGAUACAUUCAACAUCUAUUAUCGUUGAAUGUAUUGACAAUUAAGAAGAAAAAAAUACACUUAAGAUACCAAAGAGUACUUUCAUUGAAACAAAAAAUGAUGUGUUCAAAUCUAUUGAACUUGUAUUAUUUGAGCUCUUUUAUAUAAUUCUUUUUAUACAUAUAUAGCUUGUUAUCCCCACUUAUUUGAUGCAUGAAACUUGUAGAUCUAUUAAAGAAAAAAAAAAGUCAUUAUACCCCACCACAAUAAGUUAAAAACAUAAGUUCAUCCCAAAUUAAUAGAUUAUUCACGAAGAUUUCUACCUUCAAAAGGAAGUCUGUUUAUCUUCUCUCACACAAUGAUGGAAUGAAAAGAUAAAUAAAUAUAUAAAUAAAGUAAUAGGGAACCCCAGUUUUAUGAAUCUUUUUUUUUUCUUCCCAAUUAAGUAAAUUUACUCUAUUUUUAGCCAAUAGUUAUCGUAUCAAAUUAUUAUGUAUUGAUCUUAUUGCAUGAAUUUGUAAUUGUGCCAUGAAUUAUGUGUCAAAUUAUUAGAAAGAAAUUUGCCUCUCCAUUCCAAGUAAUAGAAACAGAAGUACCAACUGAACCUAACCCAAUAAUAAAAAAGAGUUUUAAAAGCAUCAAACUCUGUCCAGUUAAGGGUAAAACAAGUCGAAUUUCCCGUUUAAUACGCACAGAGCAAUAAAGGGCAACUACAAUCUGAUGGGAGUUCGCAGAGCAACGGUGAAUAAUUUAAAACUUAUUGAUGACAAAAAUUACAAGUGGUGGGGUUGUUGUGUUUCAUUUUCAUAUGGGGUAUUAUUAUUAUUAUUAUUAUUAUUACUGCGUGUCUAAAAUUGUUGGGAGCAGAAAUGAAAGACGAUUUCGUAAAGGAAAGUAGGAACAAACAGCUAUCAGGGACCAGGCUGUGCCUAUAUGUCAUUUCCUUCUCUCACCGAUCUAAAAUUGAAGUGUCGUAUUUCAAUUUGCCUAGUUGCUUCUGUGGAUUUGGAAUCUGAAGUUGACACCCAAACCACCAUUCUCCUUGCAAGUUUCAUCUGUUUGGCUAUUGGAUCCGUGGCCAAAUAAUGUUAUUACGUCAUUGGCUAAUUCAUGCCUAAAUCCCAUUGCAUGCUGUUGUGAUCCAAUCAUCUUUCUGUUUUCCCUCAAUCAAUCUUCUCUCGAGCUCACAGAUCCGAUCAGCUGUGGUGGCUACAUUAUUUAUAUUAUUAUUAUUAUUAUUAGCAUCGUUUCUUUCCAAUUAAAACAGCAUAAUAUUUCGUAUUAAAAGAGUCAAGAAUAGCCAAUAAUAUAUCAUCGCAUAGGUGUAAACACAAGGUCAUUUCCUGCUUCUUAAGUAUCGUAAAUUAAGAUAAUGUUUAAGAUUAAAGCUUAAAUUAGGACAACGACUAAUUAUAAAACACAAUUAAAACUACAUUUCAAUUAAAAGAAGAAUCGGGUGCAGUGUCGGCAACAACACACUGUUACCAACAACGCAAUGGUGUCACAAACACAAAGAUAAUUAAUGUCACUAAAAUAGAGAAAACUAUGGUGCAACGGUGGAUCCAACGGUCGGAUGCAGCGGUGUCACGGUACCACCGUUGCACCGUAGCUUAACCCCACUAAAAUACAUCGACGCACCACAUUUUAAGCGAACCUAAACGUUGAGCAAUAACAUCGGCAAGUAUUCAUAAAGAAAGAAUGAGUACACACUUGCACUCCAAAAACCCAGCCAAAUAAAAAGUCAACAUACAUAUGCACUCCACGAUAUGAAUGUCCAUUUCUUUCUAUUGUUCAAGUUGAAACCAAAAAACUAACCUACCAAUAUCUCGUAGGGAUCAAUCAAAGGAACCAAGAGAUGAAAAGAAAAAGAAAAAAGAAAGUGGAGGGCAAAAGAGAUGAAGAACAGAUUCAACAAUGGAAUAAACGGAGUUGGAGAAAGAACAACCUUAACUUGACCGAAGUGACUCGGACUCGUACUGCACGAACCCAGUUGGAGAUGAAAUUUUAUACCUACGUACGUGAUCGUGUCUGCCAAUACACUGUCCCAAGGAUUCUCAAUUCCAUUAUCCAUCCGCCUGGUCUUUCCUUGCUUCUGGUUCCAGAUUUACAUCACCGUUUCUUUAUUUAAAUAACGUUUGAGGAAUAAAACUCAGUUGUCUAUGGGUUACAGCGAACACUUCAAGAAGAUGCAUUAAUUAUUUUCAAGUUUUUUCUUUUUUUUUUCCCCCCUUCUUUAAAAAUUCUCACUUAUUUACCAUUAUUAUUGCUUGCUGCCUUUGGAUAUGUCAAAGAUAAAUUAUUAGAGAUAUAAGGUGAAGGCAUCUAGAUGCCUUGGUGUUUUAAUUCGCAACUGCGGUGAAAUGAGAUCGCUAGUUCAUUACCAUUGGGGAAAAACAACUUUUAUUUUUUAAAACAAACAUUACUUCUUUUAAUUUGAUGGAACACAAUAGUUACACAAGGAUAACUCUAUUAAAAAUGACGUACACAUAUAAAAUUCAAGUUACAUUAAUCGGCCUCUCCUGUAAUAUGGAUAGAGAAAAGUAAUCCUCCUGAUAUAUAUAUAUAUAUAUAUAUAUAUAUAUGCUGCUGUACAAAUAACCCUCAUCACAAACACCCAAGUUAAUUUGACACUUUCAAUUGACAUGAUUAUAGGAUUUCUAUAAGAUUCAUCCUCUCUAUGCCUUGAAAAUGUCCAAUUUGAAAUUUGAAAGUUUUGGAUCUAGAAAGAAAUUAUACUAAACACCUACACUCAAAAGUCAAAACUCAGCACAUAUCUAAAUAUGAUAUAUGGAAUAAAAUAGAGUCACAAAUCAAUAACAACUCCAUAUUAUGGAGGAAUCUGCCUUCAUUCAACAUACUGGAUACCGAAGAUAGAUUAGUCUUCGGCAGACAGAAAAGAUGAGAAAAUUGAAGUUCUACAGAAGAGGCGGCGUUGGAGAGGGAGAGCAAGUCAGAGUGAAUUUAAUAUUUUUGAAAUAUGAUGAUCAGGUCCUGAGAUUCUUGUCGAUGUUAUGAAAAUAUCAACCGGAAAAUCAAGAAUAUUCAAGCAAAAAGGAUCGUGACGGGUACGGCACGGCCGUUAACGACCACAUCAAAUUGACAUCAUGCCUGUCAGUUUCCAAUCAUAGAAGAUAAAUUAUGGGUUAAUGGACUUGGAGUCCUUUAGGACCCACUGCCUCUAAUUGCACACAAAAUCGGUCUAUCAAAACAUCAUUACACGCUAUUUUGGAAAAUUGAUGGCUGUUGUUAGUUUGGCUUAAUUAAGAAGAUAACACAUGAUGGAUAGAUGCAUAAAAGUUAAAAACAGAUAUGUUCUAAAAUCUCAGAUCAUCUGGACAACCAACCAUCAAAGAAACCAUGUAUUCUUUUGGUUAUCUACAUUACACGUCACGCAGCACCGUGAUUAGCGACGUAUUUGUCUUUGCAAUUCGAGCUACGAAAUUUUCAAUUUCAUUGUUUGAAAAAAUACCUUUAGAAUUCAUCAAAAAUCCUAUGGAAACAUCAAUAACGCUGUGGGUAAAAUAAUUUAAUCGAAAAUUAUCUCUACACUAUACUAUCUUUUUUUUUUUUAUCAUACGUACAUCUAAUUAUGAUAAAAUUUUAAUAUGUACUUUACACCAUCUUUAUUUUUAAGUUUAUAUCGAUCAACUACUUUGAUACUAAAAAAUAAUUAUUUUUUAUCAUUAAAUGAAUUAAAAAAAUAAAAAAAAAUUAUAAUAAAUCUUGGCUUUCGACAAUCUUAAUCCCUUAGUCCCACUUCCCAGCAAGGGAUUAAUAAUGAUCACAAGUCCUUACUCCUUAGAGGUCGAAUGCUUAUUUAGCAAUGGUUUAUGUAUUUUAUUAAAGUGCAUAUUACAUUAUUAUGUCAUACAAUGUAAUAAUUUGUUCGUACUCCAAUGAAGUACGAAAUCUCGUUGAAAAAUUUCUAUUGAAAGGUUAUGGGUUUGGUGUCUCAUUGAUGAUUGUGAAUCCAUAAUAUUAUCAUCAUCUUAUUGAAGUUAGGGUGGGUAAAUUUAGAGCCCAACCAGUCUGAUUAGAUUUCAGAUUAAUUAGAUUUGAGAAAAAAAUAAUCCAAACUCAAUUUAAAUUCAUGAAAUUUAAUCCAAUCAACAUUUAAUUCAAUCAAAUUGAACGGAUUCCUAUCUAAUCGAAUUGAGGGGUUCAUUGGCAUAUUUAAUUCAGAUCGAAUCAAGUUAUUUACACAUCCUUGGACCCGCAAAAUUAUAGUGGGCAAGCCUUGAAACGUAGCCGUCUCAAUCAAAGAGGAUGAUGCAUGUAACGACUAGAAUUGUGUAACAAUGCCCAUCAUCAUAUUCAUAUGUGGACAAUGGACAUGGCAGACACACACAUACCAUCGCCACCUUUUGUCACAAUCACUAUAAUGUCGGCCGGACCCCACCACCUGUUCCCAGUUCAUAUGUGGUCCCCAAUAAUUGUCUAGUUGCCGUUAGAUUAUUCUAAUCAUCAUCAUCAUUCAGGCCCCCCACCGAAGACAGCACGUACGAUCCAUCACAUCAUAUCACCAUGUCACGAGCCUAUUCCUGUUUUAUUUUAUUCUCAUAAUUUUUUUUUUAUUAAAGUAGUACCAAUGCACAUUUUUUUAAUUAAUUAAACUCCAAAGAAUUUUAUAGUCACUUCAUAUAAAAUAUAACAAAUUAAAUUCAUAUGAUAAUACAUAAAUUUAAACAAAAUAAGAGUAUUUCACAUUAAACUUAUAUUUUUCGAAUUUGCUAUUUCUUUAAUAAUAUUAUAAUCUAGGGCUUCGAUGGGUGAAGUUUAUGAAAAAAGUCUGACAAUUAUUUUUUGACAAAAUAAUGAAGUGGUAAUUGAAAUUUUAAAAGCGUUUAUGGCUCAAUAAAUUACUUUUAGAAAACAAUUUCUUACAUAUUUUCCAAAACUGAAUGCCGCGAAAAAUUAAAAAAAAAAUUACAAAAUUAGCAUAUUUUAACAGAUUUAUCACCUACUUUUUCUUGUCAAAACUUUAAAAAAAUAAAGUACUUUUAAUCCCAAACAUAAUCGAGAGCACUGAGCAGUAAAGCAUCUUCCAUGUUUUAUCACUUACAAAAAAAACAAAAAUUAUAUAUGUGUGUGUGUGUGUGUGUGUACAUCCUUCGAUGUCAAGUUUUUCUUCAGACCAAAAGCAUAAGCGCGUGUAAUGCACGGUCGCGGUAAAAGCGGAUGGUAUUAUUGACAUUUUCUUCCUUCCACAAAAAUAUUAUGAUUAGUUAAAUUAAUUACUUAAUUAAAAAUUCAUUAGUCAUUGAAUCAUUUAAUAUUCAUUAAUUAAUUUUAUUAUUAAUUAUCAACAUAUUAUUUUCCAAUUCACGUCAAAUAUCUUGAGUAAUCGCAGCAUCACCCCUCCCAUAUGGCCGCACUUCAUUUUUGUGCCCCCAUCCGUAACUGUCUAUAAAGGGACAAUUUUGUCUUUUGACUGUGCCACCGGGAGUGACUGGUGUGCCCAUGGAAACUCUGUAAAGAAAAAAAAAGUUGAAAUAAAAAAAAUGAAAACUUUUUCACUUAUAUUUCUUCUUCUAAAAUUUUAUAUUCUAGAAACAAGAGACGACAUAUGGAUAAAUUUUAAGUUUUGUUUUACACAAAAGAAAAGAGAGGGACCAAAAUGAAACCUAGAAAUUUCUCCAUUUUUACGAAUCACUCCCGCUCACUCCUAUCUAAUUCAUUUUGAACCCCUACUAAUUACUUUCACCCUAAUUUUUAACUUCUUAGCUUAUAACAUCUAAGCUACAUGAAAAGUUGAGACUGUAACAAGGUGUAGUAAUUAGCAGCCUCAUCCUCAAGAUCCCACAAGCCAUCACAUAAAGCCAAACAAUCCGCACUACUAAUCCCUACUUCAUCAGAAUCAGUACUGCUGUUAUUAGCACCAGAAGCUUCCAUAGAUGGAAUCCCAAGCUCAUCAUCAGAGGCUUCAAGAAGAUGUCUCAUGACUCUCUCUUUAUCAUCAACUUCAUCUUCCUGGUUUGAAGAAUGAGAAGAAGAAGAAGAAGAAGAAGAAGAGAUAAUGGGGUCGCUGGAUUCUUGGUCAUCGUUAGUGUUUGGACAUGGGAUAGAGUCGUGAGAAGAAAGCUCAUGCUGCAAGCUUGUCAUUAAAGAAGACAAGUCUUGAGCUGGCUCUUCUUCUUCAGCUUCAUCAAGCAAAGACAGUAUGUGGUUGUAUGAUGAUGGCUUGUGACGCUUUGUUUCUUCAACUUCAACUAAUUCAUCUAUCUGUUUCCCUUCUCUUUGGCGUUUUAAUGUCGACUCAGCCAUGAUAUGGAGGAGAAAAAUUUAACAAACAAACAAAGCUAGAGCUUUGUUUAAAGGCAAGCGUUGAAAGAAAAGUUGGAAGGUACUUGAAUGAAAUGCAAGUAUGAGGAGGGAGAUAAGGGGGGAUACGAAGGUUUAUAUAGAGAUUGAAGCAAAGUGUAGUUCCGGUCAAAACGAGUUAAACAAGAAAGCGAGAAUAUUUAAUAUGUUGUGUGUUUGUGUGUUUUUCUUUUUUAUUAUUAUUUAUUAGAGGGGAAAAAAAAGAUGCUCAAAUAAAAAAGAAAGAAGAGAUUAUUGUCACACUCAUGAGUUGGUCUUCCUUGGAUAUGAACCGUUGGAUGUAACUUUCUUUGGAGAUUUGGGAUACCGAUGAAGAUCGGACGGGUGAUAAUUGAAGGGGUGUCGGACAAAAGAGAGUUGAGGUAAUGACAAAAGUGGACAGAAGAGGUAAUUACAUCAACAAAGAAAAGCCAGACAUGCGUAAACCGAGGCGGGUUACACUUGAAACACAAAAAGUGGCAAAAUCUCUUUAUCUUUACUCGGUGGUCUAAAAAAGUUUUAAAAAAAAAAAAUUUGAUUAAUUUGUUUUAAUAUGUACGAAGCAGCAGUGGUAAGUUUCUGAACACAGACAAGAUAUCUAUCAAUAAUUAUGAAUUGUAUCUCCAAUCGAUCAGCUUUACAGAGUUCUACGGACGGUCCAGAUGGGUUUGCAGGUGAAGUGUCCGUGGCUGAUGAGACCUAGUUUAAUAUCUCUAGGCGUUAUUAAGAGGGACCUGUCUAUGGUACAGAUUCUGUAACAAAUAUCUCCCGUCAUCCCACCAUCCGAUUUUCUAUUGCUUAAUUUCUCACUCCACAUCUAACCACAUCCAACGGCUGAUGCUGCAGUCUGUAGCUUACAGAUUCUGUAAGCUAGUCAAGUCCUAUUAAGAGUUUCGAGAUGAAGGGUAUAAUGGUGAUUAAGGGAAGGUUUGGACGUGACAGACCACAUGACUACACGAGGGAGAAGGGGGCGAUUGAUGACUGAUCAUGUGAUGGACGGAUGGGCUGAGCUGAGCUGAGGAGGUGAAGGUGCAGCUGCACCAACUCCAGUCCACAAUUGCAGUCACGUUUGAUGGGACUUUUAUAUAAUAUAUGUAAUUGGGUCCACCUACAACAAUAGUACGGUACAAUUAUUAUUUUCAGCCAUUAAAUUUAAUGACUGAUUAUACUAUACCACUGAUGCAAUAUAAUUUUACCCUAUCUAUCUAAUUAUGUAUCAUAAAAAGACACUGUACAGUGUUUGUACGAAAUGGAAGCCGCGGCCUCAACUUGUGAAAAUGCGAUUGUUCCUUCCUUGCGCUCAAAACUUAUCUUUCGUCUUUGGAUUAAGGACCACACGUGCAUCAAGGUGGAAACCAAAAAUGGUUACUUGAUGAAAUCCCCCUAUCGCCAUCCUUAAGGUAUCACCUGUAUCUCUCUGUACUCAUAUUCUGGUCUAAAAAUAUUCUUCUUAAAAAUUUAAAGGAAAAAAAAAUAAAAUACUUCCUGGGCUUGUAAUAAAAUUUGAUUAAAUAUGGAAAUUUGUGUUAUUGGUUAUAGCGAUCCUUUUUUUUUUUUAUGAAUAUAAUAAGUCUAUAUAAUUAUUUUCAAACCCAAUAAAAUCUCUUUGCACAAUUGAACUAAUAACUUUAGGUCGUUAACGGAUUCCCUAACUAAACUAUAAUCGGAGGCUUGCAAAAGUCUAAUUUCAUUAAAAUUAGGGCACAAUUUACAAGAUCUAUAUAGUAUAAUUCAAAAAUUUGCACUAAUAAAUGUGAGUUUUACACUUUUGCUACCACUGCUAACUAUGUAGACGAUUGCAUUGUUGAAGGAAGAGAUAGUGAGAUACCAACCGCUUGGCCGUAGAGUAGUUGAAAGUUUCCAAACCAAAAGAAUAUACGAUUCCAAAGCCCUUUUUAAUUUGGCUUUCAGUUUUUAUUAUUAUAUACUUUUUUUUCUCCAAUAAUUACAUAAAUAUUGUGAGUACAAAUCUUCUUACAGAAUCAAUUAAGGUAGAGAUUAAAGAUUGAAAAAUAUAGUGGAAUAUUAAUAUAUAUACCCAUUUAAAGUUAAUAUUCGAAGAUAAAAUUCAUUUGGUCCCCAAAUUUGAUGUGAGUGUUUAAUCAGGCUACCAAAAAGUUGGUUAUAACUGGCGGUUUCCUCUUAAUAACAAACUUGUAACAGAAAAAGAAGGUACAACCAAUUUUGUCAACAAUGGAUAAUUCUCCCCCAUUUUAUUAUUAACUAUACGUCUAUAUAAAAACUUUUGCUCACUCUUUACCCCCCUUCCUGCUAAAAAGUUGUAGGAAAAAAGACCAUACGCCGUUCCUUUAAAAUCACCCUCACGAAUCUUAUUAAAAUUUUGAGUAAUAUAUUAGGCCGUUCCUUAAGUUACAAUUGGAUGAGCCGAAACUUAGGCUAAUAGAAACAGUGUCAUUUAAAAAAAAAAAAAAACGUGGGUGAUGGAAGUUGCGAAUAUUAUUAACUUAACAAGACUGGUAAUAAUAUGAUAUAAAGUUGGAAUACCAAAUUAUAGUGUUAUAAAAUCAAUCUUUAUUACGUAGAUGUAAAAGAGUAAGAUAAUUUAAUACCGGAUAAAAGUUCAUUUAGUCCUUAUUUUUUAAGAUUAUUGGUCAUUAGUCCCUAUAUUUUUUUUAAUAAUAACUCAAAAUAUCCAUGUCAUUAAAUUAUUGACACCCCUGCCAUUACUUUUUAUUCAUUUUGACCUAUUUUUAUAAUAUUACCACAUUACAAUAAUUUUUUUACAUUAAUAAAAAGAAAAAAUUAAAUUACCAAUAGAAACAAAAAUAAUAUAUAUUAAUUUUAUUGAACAUUCUACCGAAGAGUUAAUAUAAUUAUUUUUUAUUAAUGUCCAAAAAAUUGGUAAUUUAAUUUUGUUCGAUAUUAAUUUUUUUUGGAUAUCCAUGAGCUUUUACAAAAAUAAUAUAUAUUUUUUUGUUUUUAUUUUAUUUUUUGGGAUUAAAAUGGUAAUUUAAUUUUUUUCUUUUUAUUAAUGUCUAAAAAAAUUAUUGUACGAGGAUAGUAUUGUAAAAGCAAGUAAAAAAUAAUAAAAAGUAACAAAAGGUGUGUCAAUAGUUUAACGGUAAGAAUGUUUUAAAGUAUUUUUAAAAAUUAUAGAGACUAAACAGAUACUAACAUCAUAAUAUGAUAAGUAAAUGAAUUUUUACUUGUUUGAUCCCUUGGUAAAUGAAUUUUUUUAGUAAUAUCACAUCAUGUGUCAUAUGAAUUUGUACAUCAAUUUUAUAAGCAUUAUGUUAUCAUAUAAAUCUUAUCUCUUGUGCAUCCUAAUCACUACUUGCCGAUUCUAAGAUACGUGAAUAACCUAAAAUUUGGAUAUACAAAAGUAUUAUAAAUACAUAUUAGUUGUAAAAAAUGAUUCUUUUUUUUUUCUCCCUCUAAGGACAGGUAAGGAGUGUCUUUCCAAAAAGGAUGGUGAAAUAUAUUAAGGAAAGAAAUUCUUUUAUGAGGAAAAAAAAAAGAAAUAGAUUAUAUAUAAAAAAAAAAAAAUUCCCUAAGAACUUAUCAAUAAAAACGAAAGGUGAGUUUGUUUGACCACAUUGAAUAAUUAAUUUCCCUAUGCUCUGAGUUCCGGCUCUUUUUUUUUUUUUUUAAAAAAAAAAGGGGCAAAUGCUACCCCAGAGGCGUUUUAAUUGCGUGUCUUAUGGAGAUUUGCACUUGUAUUUGAUGUGGAUCGUGCAACUUUUGUCUUUUUAAAUCUCAAUUUAACAAUCAAGAUUAAAGACGACCAAACGCACUUCAACUGCAACGAGUUAAGCUGCAACAAUUAUUUUUAUUAUGGGAUUAUGAUCCAAAUCACGUGGGCCGUUUAGAUUCAAUCAACUCAACUGACCCAUUAGAAAGAAAAAAAUAAUAAUUAAAUUAAGUUAUAUCUCAAUUUGCUUAGUUGUUGCUCGUUGGAAUUAGAGAUCUAGAUCGCUUGCUGUCGCUCAUAGCUUAAUUAAUUGAUUUUAAUCAAUUAAAAGAAUGGCGUCCUAAGAGACAACCAAAUCUUCAGUAAUGAGAGAACUCAACCGUCUGACCUCUGAAUUUAUGCUGCUUUUUUUCUGUCUUUUUAUUAUUACACCUUAGGUUUGACUGGAAAAUUUGUUUAUUUUUUAAGAGAGAAGCGAGAGAAAUUUUGCAUCUAUAUUUAAUUUUUGAGUAAUGAUACAGCCACAAACUCUUGUACAAACUUAUUUUGUAUAAAUUGAUGUGGCAUGAUAAGAUUGGUUGAAUUAAAUAUCACUUGGCCCACAUGAUUUAUUUUUAUUAAUUUAUAUUUAAGAUUGGUUGAUGAAUGAAAAUAUAAAUUAAUAAAAAUAAAUCAUGUGGGCCAAGUGAUAUUUAAUUCAACCAAUCUUAUCAUGCCACAUCAAUUUAUACAAAAUAAGUUUGUACAAGAGUUUGUGGCUGUAUCAUUACUCUUAAUUUUUUGAGUGUAUUAAGCAUAUAUGCACCUCACGUGACACACAUGUAGCGAUCUUAUUGGAGUGAGUGUGUCAUCAUGACAGCGAUAAAGAAAUUAAACCAUUUAUGUUUAUCCUAAUUUUUUUAAUUAAAAGUUACACACGUACUAACAAACAAGCCUAUAAUUAUUGUAAAACAAAUUCUCGAUGUCAUAUUCUCAGCGAACGAUUGUAUUUCCAUGGAGGUACUUUCGAAUUCCUGAAAGUCUGAGGUCGUAAAAUGAAAUUUAACCAUUUCUUUGUCAUUUUAGCAUUUUUCACCCAUCGUUUUUUUUUUUUUUUUUGGUGGUGUGUUUUCUACCCAAUCGAACAAAAACGACUUGGAAAAGAGUCCGAAAAUUAACAUCGGUGUUAUUGGAGAUAGGACCAAAAAGUUUCGUUUGUGGGUAUCCCUGGACCAAAAGCCUUUUCCGAAGUACUUGUUUCGUCGAAAUCCCAUAAUGGGAUUUGCUAUUAAUAACAAAAAUGUUGUGGCAUAAAAAAGAUAAAGAGAUGGAAACCCCAUGUGGAUGUGGGGAACAUGAAAAGUGCUUUAGCAUGUGCGUGUGGAUGCGGUGAGUGGACCUAGUUUUAAGGGCACGGCCAGUUGCGGCAAUAUGAAUAGGCCUCAUUAGGGUUAGGGCACUCACUGUCCCAUUAUUUUUUUCGAGCUGGCCACAUCGUGAUUAUUAGGUUAAACAUAGGCGAUGCCAGGGCAUGAAAAUUUAGAUUGUAAGUUUCCAUUAGGUUAGGUUGGUGCCUCAACCACUGGGCAUAUGGACCAUUUUAUUCUAUCUUGUACUAGUUUUUGUUGGCAGUUGCUUUGCGUUGCCUUUAGGGUUCAGCUUUUGUUUUAAUAAUAAUAAUAAUAUUCAACAGCCCAAAGAUUGUUAAUUUCAAAUUAUUCGAUUUCAAACCUCGAUGAACUUAAUCAAUUCUUGUUCUUCUUCUUCUUUUUUUUAAUGAUUGGACUUUUUAUGUGAAUUUGGAUUAAGAAUCUCUCACUCCGGAUCUGAACUUCUCCUGAACAAAAAUUAACGUAUUAAUUAGAGGUUAAUAAAUUUUAAAUGUAAAAAAAUUAAAUUAUAUUCAUAUAUUAUUACUACAUGACAUAAGAUCAUUAAAAGCUCCGAAUGAUUUAGAUGGGAGAUGAUCCUAAUCUUAUAAAUUCACAUGAAAUUAUUUUGAUACAAACUUCUCCACUACUUGUUAAUUAGCAUUAAUUCACCUGUUUAGAUAAUCGAGGGAUCAAAUUUUCUAUGAAAAAAUUUUGAAGUCCUUAAAUUAGUGUUGAUUUUUUUUUUAUCGAUAAUGCUUUUUCAUUAACUUUGCAAGAAGUGAAAAAGUAAAAGUAGGUGAUUCAGAAACAUCUCAUUUUAUUCCUUCUGAUAUGAACUCUGAUGCAACACAUACACAGAGGAUGACUGUAAGAAAAUUAAAAAAUUAUUAUACAAAAAGAAAGUCAUAUAUACAUGUGUGUGUGUAGAAACACACUGUAAUUAAGGACAUUAAAAAAAAUGAGAAUAUAAAAUGAGAGUGUUUGCAUUUAAGAAUAAUUAAUUUACAAAAUAAGAGCAUCAUCAUCAUCCAAUUAAUUAGUAUUUGAUUAUGAACAAUUGCCUAACAUUCAUGACUUUAUACAUUUAAAUAUUUGCUUACCCAACGGCAUAUACUAUUAUACUUAAUCUUCAAAGAUUACAAAAUCAAUGAUAUUAACAGGUAACAGCCCGCAUGCCCUGAAGAGUAACUAAAGUUUCUUAAAAAUUUAUAAUAUGCAUAUGUCACUGAUGUAACACUAUAUAUAAUUAAUUCAAUUUCAGACAUAAUAUUGUUAAGCGAAAAAUUAAGCUAUUGACCCCAGAUGCCACAUGUUUAAGGGAUAUAAUGAUCAUAAUUAAAAGUUAAUCAAACUUGACCAUUCUGGAAACAUUUUAAUUAAUCACUCAAAUCCAUUUUAGUUAAUCACUACACUGUGUCUACUUUUUCUUUCGUUGAAUGUUCUCUACCGUCACGUCUAGAGUAUUUAAAGUCUGAUUAUCUUUAAUCGAUAUUUAAGAUUUUCUUUAUGAGAAUAAUGUUAUAGUUAUUGAAUAUUUAACAAGGCUAAAAAUUUUGUGCAUAUUUAUUGGCCGAGAGGAAGAAGCAUCCUCUGAGCUUAUCGUUACAGUAUCUUAAAAGGGCAGGCCAAUUAAAAGUUAAAAUAAAGGAAAUGAGAAAUAUAUACGUAAUGGAGUUGAAGAUAUUGUGGUCUUUCCAUAAAAAUUAAUUAAAAAAAUUGAAGGUAGAAAAAUAGAUGGUUUCUACCAUAAUGAACAAUAGUACUAGGGACCUUAAUAUUUGGAUCCCAGUUUAUAUCUCAAAUAUAUAAAUUAUUCAUUUAUUAAGUUAAAUUUCAUACUUAGUUAAAUUUAAUUAUUAAAGAAAUUAUUAUUAUUAUACCAUUCAAUAAAUGAAACACAUAAGUUGUAAUCUUCAAUUGUUUUCAAUUUUGGCAUUCCUGAGAGAUGCCAGCAACUAAACAAAUGAUGAUAACGAAUGCUUUCUAAUAACAAAAUCUUCAAUUGUUAAUUUCUUCACAUUAUAAUUAUAUAUAAAUUUACUUUAUUUUUGCAUCUUCUUCUCUCUCUCUCUCUCUCUUUUAAACAAUAGCCCUUUUGAUUAUUAUUAUCUAUGUUGUUUGGUUGUAUAUUUCCUGACAAACUCAGUUGUUGCUAUUUUGCAUAAUGAUCUACUUUGUUUCUUCAUUUUUUGGCCAGGGGUGUUUGAUUGGUGGAGGUUAAUUGGCAACCCAAUUUGAUUUGGCAAUCCAAAUCAAAUUAGCAAUUCAAACCAAAAUGUUAACCCAAAUUUUCAAUGUGAACCAAAUCAAAUAGCAAACUUGAACUGAUCCAAAGCAAAUUAAUUUCGAUUUGGUUCGAUUUAGAUUUGUUGAUAAAACUCGAAUGGGUUGUAAUCUAAACUGAAACUGAACAAUCCGGACCGAAAAAUGAUUUAUCUACCCCUACUUGAGAGUUCAAACUCAAAGUUGAUAAAAAGAUAAAACUUCUCUAAUAGAUAAAAUAUUACAAAUAGACUUGAAAGCUUAU